rnacentral:rRNA from 1 species
UAAACCGUAUAAGUGUUAAAGCUGGCGGCGUUGCAUAUACGGGGUAGAGGGAACAUACUGGACUGACGCCAUAAGGUCGAGUUGAUUAUGAUGUAAGCGGAACGCGGCUGGAAAGCCGGACCGUAGGAGGUGAGAGUCCUGUAGAGCGUAAAGUCAUAAUAGCUUGUAUGAGAUCCCGAGUAGCAUCGGACACGAGGAAUCCGGUGUGAAUCAGCGUGGACCAUAUCACGUAAGGCUAAAUACUUCCGCCGACCGAUAGAGGAGAGUACCGUGAGGGAAAGGUGAAAAGAACCCUGAGCAAGGGAGUGAAAUAGAAUUUGAAACCGUGUGCUUACAAGCGGUAGGAGCCCAUAUGGGUGACUGCGUGGAUUUUGGUUAAUCAUCCUGCGAGUUAUGAUGUGUGGCGAGGUUAAGUGUAAGCGGAGCCGAAGGGAAACCGAGUCUUAAUAGGGCGAGAGUCGCAUGUCAUAGACGCGAAACCUAGUGAUCUAGGCCUGUCCAGGCUGAAGCUGAGGUAAGACUCAGUGGAGGGCCGAACUCACCGCCGUUGAAAAGUUGGGAGAUGAGAUAGGUCUAGGGGUGAAAAGCCAAUCGAACUAGGAGAUAGCUCGUUCUCUCCGAAAUGCAUUUAGGUGCAGCCUCGGUUGAAGAUAUGCGGGGGUAGAGCACUGUAUGGCCUAGGGGGCGUAUAGCUUACCGAAGUCAAGCAAACUGCGAAUACCGUAUAUUGUUUACCGGGAGUGAGUCUACGGAUGACAAGGUCCGUGGACGAGAGGGGAACAGCCCGGACCGCCGGCUAAGGUCCCAAAUCAUGUCUAAGUGGGAAAGGAGGUGGAUAUUCACAGACAACCAGGAGGUUGGCUUAGAAGCAGCCAUACCUUGAAAGAGUGCGUAAUAGCUCACUGGUCGAGAGUAUCUGCGCCGAAGAUAUAACGGGGCUAAGACAUGAACCGAAGCCGCGGAAGCGUGCUAGGCACGUUUGGUAGGAGAGCGUUCUGUAGGCUGUAGAAGGUGUCCUGAAAGGGAUGCUGGAGGUAUCAGAAGUGAGAAUGCAGGAAUGAGUAGCGAGAAGGAGGGCGAGAAUCCCUCCGGCCGGAAGUCCAAGGUUUCCAGGGGAAGGUUUGUCCGCCCUGGGGGAGUCGGGACCUAAGCAUAAGCAGAGCUGCGAAGGCGAAUGGAAAACAGGUUAAUAUUCCUGUACCGCUGUGUACUGACUGAGAGAUGGAGUGACGCAGGAAGGUAUGCGGGAAGGCUGACGGAAUAGCCUUUCUAAGGGUGAAGCGUGGACAUAUAGGCAAAUCCGUAUGUUUAAACGUGAGGCCUGACGGGUAAGUACCUUAGGGUAUAAGCCGCAGAUCCUACACUGCCGGGAAAAACUUCUAUUUAGGGAAGCAGCGCCCGUACUGUAAACCGACACAGGUGGACAGAGUGAGAAACUUAAGGCCGACAGGAUAACUCUGGCUAAGGAACUCUGCAAAAUGGCCCCGUAACUUAGGGAGAAGGGGUGCCCGUGGUACCUGAAGGGGGAGACACCCGGAGGGGAAACGGGCCGCAGUGAAGAGUCCCAAGCAACUGUUUACCAAAAACACAGGUCUAUGCUAAGCCGGAAGGCGACGUAUAUGGGCUGACACCUGCCCAGUGCCGGAAGGUUAAGAGGAGGAUUGAGAGAUCCGAAUUGAAGCCCCGGUGAACGGCGGCCGUAACUAUAACGGUCCUAAGGUAGCGAAAUUCCUUGUCGGGUAAG